GUUUAGAAACUUAGCUUUCUAAUUUUUGUCUGUUUUUUUAUUAUCCCCAGCAAACUGCAUUCUAAGAGAACUAAGUUAGCUUUUCUGGGGUUUUUGCGAUAUCGUAGUGAAAUGGCGGUAGGAAAAGGAAGAAGCAGGAUCUUUCGUACGAAACUUGUUCGGGCUUUACCGUACAGUGUGACGCUAUCUACACUACUGACUGGCAGAAUACAAAGAUCCAGCUCCAGCCUAGCCCCUUGCCAGCGUUUAUCGCUAUCCCCGACGCUCAUCAGCAUCCUUCCCUCGCAGAAUAAUUUAUUAUCAAGGGCACGUAUGACGAUAUCGUCAAAAUCUAAGGAUGGCAAAGGACGCAGGGAGACGAGAAGAAACUGCUGCAUGUCGAGCUGCCAUCAAAAGACAAACGUUGGCUGAAGCCAGAAAAGCGGAGCAGAGCAGAAAUAACACCCCUCGCAAAGAAUUCGAUGAUGACGAACUCGUCGCCGUGGAUGAAGAAACAAGCUAGUCGCCGUCGUGACUCGUAUCUUUAGCCAAAGCGGAAUUGACAAUAUUGUCUGGGCUUCCCGUGUACUUGGACUCGUAUUUGGAUAUGCUCGUACUUGAACAGAUUGUUUUGUUUUUUAUAUUACGUAAAACUCAGUGUAUUAUACAAAUUUUGUAUCUUACUUUUAGUCGUUGUUGUUUUAAUCAAGUUAAGAAUUAAAUUUGUCUGUCUGUGGUAGUAAUAUCCGUGUUGCUCAAUAUUUAAAUGUCGUAAUAAAAACCGGAACUGG